rnacentral:rRNA from 1 species
UACGUAGGGGGGCUAGCGUUGUUCGGAUUCAUUGGGCGUAAAGGGUGCGUAGGCGGCGCGGUAAGUCGGGUGUGAAAUCUCGGGGCUUAACUCCGAAACUGCAUUCGAUACUGCCGUGCUUGAGGACUGGAGAGGAGACUGGAAUUUACGGUGUAGCGGUGAAAUGCGUAGAUAUCGUAAGGAAGACCAGUGGCGAAGGCGGGUCUCUGGACAGUUCCUGACGCUGAGGCACGAAGGUCAGGGGAGCAAACGGG